CUGCUUCCAGGAAAAGCCUCUAAGCAUCAGGUAACAUCAAAUCGUACCCCAAACCGACACAGGUGGUCAGGUAGAGAAUACCAAGGCGCUUGAGAGAACUCGGGUGAAGGAACUAGGCAAAAUGGUGCCGUAACUUCGGGAGAAGGCACGCUGAUAUGUAGGUGAAGUCCCUCGCGGAUGGAGCUGAAAUCAGUCGAAGAUACCAGCUGGCUGCAACUGUUUAUUAAAAACACAGCACUGUGCAAACACGAAAGUGGACGUAUACGGUGUGACGCCUGCCCGGUGCCGGAAGGUUAAUUGAUGGGGUCAGCGCAAGCGAAGCUCUUGAUCGAAGCCCCGGUAAACGGCGGCCGUAACUAUAACGGUCCUAAGGUAGCGAAAUUCCUUGUCGGGUAAGUUCCGACCUGCACGAAUGGCGUAAUGAUGGCCAGGCUGUCUCCACCCGAGACUCAGUGAAAUUGAACUCGCUGUGAAGAUGCAGUGUACCCGCGGCAAGACGGAAAGACCCCGUGAACCUUUACUAUAGCUUGACACUGAACAUUGAGCCUUGAUGUGUAGGAUAGGUGGGAGGCUUUGAAGUGUGGACGCCAGUCUGCAUGGAGCCGACCUUGAAAUACCACCCUUUAAUGUUUGAUGUUCUAACGUGGACCCGUGAUCCGGGUUGCGGACAGUGUCUGGUGGGUAGUUUGACUGGGGCGGUCUCCUCCUAAAGAGUAACGGAGGAGCACGAAGGUUGGCUAAUCCUGGUCGGACAUCAGGAGGUUAGUGCAAUGGCAUAAGCCAGCUUGACUGCGAGCGUGACGGCGCGAGCAGGUGCGAAAGCAGGUCAUAGUGAUCCGGUGGUUCUGAAUGGAAGGGCCAUCGCUCAACGGAUAAAAGGUACUCCGGGGAUAACAGGCUGAUACCGCCCAAGAGUUCAUAUCGACGGCGGUGUUUGGCACCUCGAUGUCGGCUCAUCACAUCCUGGGGCUGAAGUAGGUCCCAAGGGUAUGGCUGUUCGCCAUUUAAAGUGGUACGCGAGCUGGGUUUAGAACGUCGUGAGACAGUUCGGUCCCUAUCUGCCGUGGGCGCUGGAGAACUGAGGGGGGCUGCUCCUAGUACGAGAGGACCGGAGUGGACGCAUCACUGGUGUUCGGGUUGUCAUGCCAAUGGCACUGCCCGGUAGCUAAAUGCGGAAGAGAUAAGUGCUGAAAGCAUCUAAGCACGAAACUUGCCCCGAGAUGAGUUCUCCCUGACCCUUUAAGGGUCCUGAAGGAACGUUGAAGACGACGACGUUGAUAGGCCGGGUGUGUAAGCGCAGCGAUGCGUUGAGCUAACCGGUACUAAUGAACCGUGAGGCUUAACCUUACAACGCCGAAGGUGUUU
rnacentral:rRNA from 1 species